CGGGCGGAGCGGUGGCUGCCGCCUUCUGCCCGCAGGUGUCGCGGGGCUGGAGCUGUAAACCGGCAGCCUUUCUUGUAGUAUCGGCUGCUAUUUGUGCUUUUCGUCAAUGGUAGUAGCAUCCUCUCAGAAAAAGGGGGGUUGCCGCCUCGUCCUUGGUACUCACUGAUUCUUUUUUGAUGCGCUUGAAAUCCACCUGGUUUAUCCCGUGCUUUCUGUGAGGAGAACGGCUCUGAAAACAUUUACCACUGAAAGGGGUGGGUUUUUGGGUUGUGUCACGGUCACUAGCAAGAGAUGUCACUGUCCCUAUAGGCUUUCCAAAAAAAAUUUUUUUUCACUCUUCUGUUUUUUCACUUUGCUUUAAAUAUUUGUAUCAAUUCUUCAAACAGCUGAUAGUUACAAUUCUUUUGAUAAUGAAGUAGAUUGCAUAGUUUUCCCCAGAAAGUAAAACACACAGAGUAAUAAGGGUGAAAUUCCCUCUUGAUGUUUGUUAAAGGCAUCAGAGGGUCCUUUUAUCAUGUGGGAGGCUUUGCUGAAGUGCCUUUUUAUUACAGAAGUGACUAAGCCCCGCUGGGAAGCAGCAGGGCCUGCAGAGAUCCCAGGAGGGCAGGCAGAGGCAGCGGGGGGCCAUGGAGGCAAUAUGAUGUUAGGGGAAGGCUGCGCCACCUCAGAAUGGAGCCUGCCCUCACGCCAGGCGGUGGAGGAAAGUGUCUAUGAAGAAAAGCUCAUCUAGCUGCAGGACCCUGAUCCAGAUCAGUGCAGAGGUCAAAGGGCAUUGUCUUCCUCUUCAGUCCAGCUGCCAACAACAAAGUCAGACAUAUGUUAUCACCAUCACACAGGGAACUGUGAGGCUGCUUGUGUUCAACAAAGUACAAAUACAGGAAGAACAUAAGUCUAUAUUAUCUAUCUGUAGGCAUCCGUGAGGGUUGGACCUUUCCCUAGAAAAUCUCACCUUGCAGCAAUAAACUGAUUCCAAGUCUUGUAAGUCUGGCAGCAAUUGAAGAUUUUUAAAACUUCAGCACACAACUGAUGGCUUUGCAGAGCGGUGGCAAUGGCUUUUUCAUUUCAUGCCUUCGGUGUUUUCAGUCCCUAAGAAAACUGAUUACAUGAUUUUUCUUAGAAUUAAAAUAAUAGAAUACAUAAAAAUGCUAUAUUUUUAGGAAAAAGUGGUUUUCAAGGCAACAGCACAUAUGCUUUCAGGAAUACUACUUUAAUGAAUGUAAACUCAGUGAAAAAAUAAUUUUAAGACGUUGCUAACAUGUAUAAAAACACCAGAAGACUAUAUACGUUCUUUGUGAAGAAUAGCAUUAUGGAGGCCCAGUUUUUCCCUUUCCCUGGAAAGGAACACAGCUUUUUCUUCUUAGCUUUCUUUAGUUUACUUCAAUAUUCUGUUGAAAAUCCCAACCAAAAAAGGAAAAA